rnacentral:misc_RNA from 1 species
GAAAUGCGAUAAGUAAUGUGAAUUGCAGAAUUCAGUGAAUCAUCGAAUCUUUGAACGCACAUUGCGCCCCCUGGUAUUCCGGGGGGCAUGCCUGUUCGAGCAUCAUUUCACCACUCAAGCCUCGCUUGGUAUUGGGCGACGCGGUCCGCCGCGCGCCUCAAAUCGACCGGCUGGGUCUUUCGUCCCCUCAGCGUUGUGGAAACUAUUCGCUAAAGGGUGCCGCGGGAGGCCACGCCGUAAAACAACCCCAUUUCUAAGGUUGACCUCGGAUCAGGUAGGAAUACCCGCUGAACUUAAGC